rnacentral:rRNA from 1 species
AACGAACGCUGGCGGCAUGCCUAACACAUGCAAGUCGAACGAGACCUUCGGGUCUAGUGGCGCACGGGUGCGUAACGCGUGGGAACCUGCCCUUAGGUUCGGAAUAACUCCCCGAAAGGGGUGCUAAUACCGGAUAAGGUCUUCGGACCAAAGAUUUAUCGCCUUUGGAUGGGCCCGCGUUGGAUUAGCUAGUUGGUAGGGUAAAAGCCUACCAAGGCGACGAUCCAUAGCUGGUCUGAGAGGAUGAUCAGCCACACUGGGACUGAGACACGGCCCAGACUCCUACGGGAAGCAGCAGUGGGGAAUAUUGGACAAUGGGCGAAAGCCUGAUCCAGCAAUGCCGCGUGAGUGAUGAAGGCCUUAGGGUUGUAAAGCUCUUUUACCCGGGAUGAUAAUGACAGUACCGGGAGAAUAAGCUCCGGCUAACUCCGUG